rnacentral:lncRNA from 1 species
AGAAUAUGAGAAUAGGGCCGGGGAUUUAGCUCAGUGGUUUUGCCGCCUGCUGCGCAAGCACAAGGGCCCAAGUUCGAUCCCACCCAAAAAAAUAAAAAUAAAAAUAAAAUAAAUGACUAUUUGGUAUGAGGAUUAAGAAUAUGAGAAUAGGGCUGGGGAUUUAACUCAGUGGUUCCACCGUCUGCCUCACAAGCACAAGGUCCCAAGUUCGAUUCCCAGUACCAAAAAAAAACCAAAGCAAGAAUAUGAGACUAGGCUGGGGGUUUAGCUCCAUGGUUCCGGCACCUGCCUCACAAGUGCAAGGUCCCAAGUUAAAUCCCUGGUAUCAAAAAAAAAAAAAGAAUAUGAAAAUAACCCUCUAUAACUGAAUUAACUUUACCAUGAUUAAAAAAUAAAGCUGUCAAUGAAAUUAUAAUAAAAUAGUGUUUUAUAUUUGUUUGCCCAGGUGGACGAAAUGGCUAUGGAGCCAAACUGUGUAAUAUAUUCAGUACCAAAUUUACUGUGGAAACAGCAAGUAAAGAAUACAAGAAAAUGUUCAAACAGACAUGGAGGGAUAACAUGGGGAGGGCUGGUGAGAUGGAACUCAAGCCCUUUAGUGGAGAAGAUUAUACAUGUAUCACCUUCCAGCCUGAUUUGUCUAAGUUUAAAAUGCAAAGCCUGGACAAAGAUAUUGUUGCACUGAUGGUUAGAAGAGCAUAUGAUAUUGCCGGGUCCACUAAAGAUGUCAAAGUCUUUCUUAAUGGAAAUAAGUUGCCGGUGAGUAUUUCCCUGGCUAAGGACAUAAGGGAAUUUGUGAUCAUUGUCAAAUGCAAAACUGAUUUGUUUUCUUCCCAAUUUUUUCCCUAUCAUUUCUUAGAUAUGUUUCUGAAAAGAGAAUGGAAUACUUUUUUUUUUCUGU